UGAAACAGAUCCCUACGCUAGAAGAACAAGGACCAGAGCGGACUGAACCUGAAUAACAAACUGAAUCGCAAGGAUUAACUGAACCUGAAUAAAACUGCUGGCCGGCCUUGGCUCUGCUAGCGGCGCUGCAGGCAGCUCUCCGGCGCGGAUCCUAGGGGGGAAAGGCGGGGUUUGAGCAGGUCACGACGGAUCCGGACGAGGGCAUCCCAUUCCCACCAACAAGGUGGCUCGCACGGCACGGCACCUCCAGAUGUGGAGAGUCUCCAUGGC
rnacentral:lncRNA from 1 species